rnacentral:rRNA from 1 species
GCUCUGGCCGGGUGGUCCGCCUUUUGGCUGGUACUGCGUUCGGCCGGGGUUCACCUUCUGGCGGGCUGGGGGUUGCUCUCGGGCGAUUCCUAGACCUCCAGGACUUUUACUUUGAAAAAAUUAGAGUGUUUAAAGCAGGCUUACGCUUGAAUACAUUAGCAUGGAAUAAUAGAAUAGGACUUUGGUUCUAUUUUGUUGGUUUCUAGGACCGAAGUA